rnacentral:rRNA from 1 species
UACGUAGGGUGCGAGCGUUAAUCGGAAUUACUGGGCGUAAAGCGUGCGCAGGCGGUUCUGUAAGCCAGAUGUGAAAUCCCCGGGCUUAACCUGGGAAUGGCAUUUGGGACUGCAAGGCUGGAGUUUGGCAGAGGAGACUGGAAUUCCUGGUGUAGCAGUGAAAUGCGUAGAUAUCAGGAGGAAUACCGAUGGCGAAGGCAGGUCUCUGGGCUAUAACUGACGCUCAUGCACGAAAGCGUGGGGAGCAAACAGG